GUUAGUGGCGAUGAUGAUACUUAUAUGCAAUAUUUAAGUUUUUUUCCAAGCAAGAUCGGAUAAUGGGUGAAUUCGGGCCGUAUCUUGGCGGGGCAAACACCCCCAUCCGAGUAAUUAUCAUACUUUUGGUGUUUGCAGCCCAUGGCGGUAUUCCUGUUCCCCUUUAUUCCGGUUUCACGUAUAUUUGCAUCUGAGCCUAGUAUAACAAGUGUUAGCAUUUCGAAACUAUAUUGAUAGCUUAGCUUUCGAAUUGUGGAACACUAAUAGAUAGUCCUUUAUCUUAUGUCUCAAAAGAGACCUGGGAAUCGAAUCAAGACCUUUUAUAGGAGGGUUUCCUUGAACAGGGCUCCCUCUUUAUUUACUAGUUUACAUAGUGUUGAAAUAACCAUCACCAAAUGGUCUAGUGCCAGGAUCCGUUUUCAAGCUGCUUGCCUUCAAAAAUCAGCUUCUGCUAGUCAGGACUCAGGUGGGAUCUUGGCCUUCACAUUAUCGAUGGUAUCUUUUUUUUUUUGAAAGGUGAAUUUCUCUUGAAACUUCGUGUUGCAAUCUGACAGUGGGAGGUCUUCACGAAGAUCUGCAUCUUUGCACACACAAACACACUCUCUCUCUCUCUCUCUAUAUAUAUAUAUAUAUGGCUGCUAUGAGGCAGCUUUGGUUGAUUGUAAGCUUUGGUUGCCCUCCUCAUCUUUGGCUGAUGAUUUUGUUUACAAAUCCAACAACCCCUAAUUCUGUUUGCUUAAUUCAAAAAGGAAAUUUGAUUAAGUAGCACCAUUUUACGUAGUUAACUUUAUACUGUUGUUCAAAAAAAAAAAAUUGUAUGCUGAUGAAAAAGAGGCUGUGAUGAUGAUGAUGAUGAUAAUGCUUUAUGCGAGUGGAUUGGAGCUAAAUUGAGAUUAUCUGCAUCUUGGCUGGGCAAAUUUAAUAAUACUUCAUCUGGAUGGUAAUGUGAAACUAGUUGUCUUUUUCAUUGCAACGGGAAAGUGAAUUUGCAGCCAUGGCGGAUAUAUCCUCUUUGUUCCAUUGUUUACAUAUCUAUAUCUAUCUGAGCCUCAUAAAUAUUUGUCCUAUUUUUAACUUGAAUCUUUUGUAGAAGUUUUUGAUUGUUUAUGUUUUUCUAAAUUUAGCUCAAGUUCUCUUUACUUAUAAGUUUUUACUUAAGGGUGCUUAACAAGGAAUAAUGACUCUUAAAAAUGUUAUAUUUAAAGAGUAGAGAAAGAGACGAUGAAGUUAUGUAUCAUGGCAUUGGCAGGGUAACCUGAAUUCGGUUGCAGCCAUGGUUGUGUCUCAGCUCUUUUUUUUUUUUAUUUAAGAUUUGCAUCUGCACCCCUCCCCUCAAGUUAUGAUAUCUCUCUGAGUUUUUAGCUUUUGUUUUUGAAGAAUUAUUUCUAGGUUAAUUGCACGAAUGUGGGUUAAUUUUGGUUCAUCACGGGGGUGGUAGGGACCAAUCACACGUCUUGAGGUUUGAACCCAGAACCAACUCUCAAGGGGCUGCUUGGCCAAAGCUCACUCAGUAGCUUACUAGCGUUGCUUAUUGAAACUCUAUUGUAGUUUGAUCAUUGAUAGGAUAGAUAAUCAAGUCUGAUAUUUGGGAUGGUGAUGGAUAGAUUAACUGAAUGUCUUACAAGGAAGCAUGAGACAUGAUAAAAUCAAAUAAGAUACCCGAUAAAGAUUUUGUUAUGCAUUUCGUUUUUUCAGCAAAGCAUCGCUUUCUGAAUAUUAGGUAAAGUUUGGUUUGUAACUUGGCGUGGGAAUCUAAACUGAAUUGCAGUCCUGGCAGUGGCUCCUCCCUUUAUCUGUUAUCAGUAUGUUGGUAAGGCAAUAAUUUGGAUGGUUAUUGAGUGAAAAUAAGUGGUGAAUUCUUUUCUCUCAUGGUGCAAGUUUUAUCUCGUCAAUUGUUUACUGAUAUAUUUGACGCUCAAAAUAUAUGAUCCCUUUUUUCACCUCGACGCUGUUUUACAAGUUUUCUAUUCGGCACAUAUUUUACAACUUGUCACAGUUUUCUUUAUUUUAUUGUACUUUUGUUCAUGAGUUUUACUAGUGUUAUCAAAGGUAGCAACUCUUUAUGAAUGUUCAAAAGAAGACCCUCUAGCUCUGGUCGAGAAAGAAGCUUAACUGGAUGUAUUUUGUUUGUUCAAUCAGUGGUGUAUUUUGGAUUUUUGAUUCUGAGUUAUCAACAACAAUAUCCAGUCUCAUGCAUAUGCAGGAUAUGAGGGAGUUUUAAGGAUGUUGAGGAUUGUAGCUGAUAGACUAAUUAUCUUAUGCUUAACAAGCAAUCAUAGCACACCAAACAAUCAAAGAAGAGAGAAAGAGGCGAAAAAGGUAGUGUUAAGCAAAGUAUACAUUACUCGUGCGCAAUAGUACCAAGGUAUCUUCGCAGGGCCACCCAAAUUUUGCUGUGUUGGAGCUAUGGUGAUGUUUAAUACCCUUUUUCUGAUUUGAAAUUUGCACAUAUGAGGUCUUUCACCCAAAAAUAACUUGUCUUGUCUUGUGAAGUUUUAUGAAGUUUUGAAUUUUUGAUGUAAACAACUUCCAGUAAUACGAAAUGAGAUAAUUUUAGCAAA